rnacentral:rRNA from 1 species
GUACACUCCUGCGGGAGGCAGCAGUGGGGAAUCUUGCGCAAUGGGCGAAAGCCUGACGCAGCCAUGCCGCGUGAAUGAUGAAGGUCUUAGGAUUGUAAAAUUCUUUCACCGGGGACGAUAAUGACGGUACCCGGAGAAGAAGCCCCGGCUAACUUCGUGCCAGCAGCCGCGGUAAUACGAAGGGGGCUAGCGUUGCUCGGAAUUACUGGGCGUAAAGGGAGCGUAGGCGGACAUUUAAGUCAGGGGUGAAAUCCCGGGGCUCAACCUCGGAAUUGCCUUUGAUACUGGGUGUCUUGAGUAUGAGAGAGGUGUGUGGAACUCCGAGUGUAGAGGUGAAAUUCGUAGAUAUUCGGAAGAACACCAGUGGCGAAGGCGACACACUGGCUCAUUACUGACGCUGAGGCUCGAAAGCGUGGGGAGCAAACAGGAUUAGAUACCCCAGUAGUCCCAUGA